UCCGGUUUGUCACCGGCGGUCUCCUUAGAGUUCCCACCAUUACGUGCUGGCAACUAAGGACAAGGGUUGCGCUCGUUGCGGGACUUAACCCAACAUCUCACGACACGAGCUGACGACAGCCAUGCAGCACCUGUGUUCGAGUUCCCGAAGGCACCAAUCCAUCUCUGGAAAGUUCUCGACAUGUCAAGGCCAGGUAAGGUGGGGAUGACGUAAGCCUAUCGAGA
rnacentral:misc_RNA from 1 species